rnacentral:tRNA from 1 species
GCCGGGGUGGCUCAGUGGUGGAGCGUCUGCCUUCGGCUCAGGGCGUGAUCCUGGGAUCUGGGAUCGAGUCCCAGGUCAGGCU